rnacentral:rRNA from 1 species
UACGAAUGGGGCAAGCGUUGUUCGGAAUCACUGGGCUUAAAGCGUGCGUAGGCGGACAUGUAAGUCAGAAGUGAAAGCCCCGGGCUCAACCCGGGAACUGCUUUUGAAACUGCACGUCUAGAAACCAGGAGAGGUUGGGAGAAUUCCGAGUGUAGAGGUGAAAUUCGCAGAUAUUCGGAGGAAUACCAGUGGCGUAGGCGCCCAACUGGACUGGCAUUGACGCUGAGGCACGAAAGCGUGGGUAGCAAACAGG